rnacentral:rRNA from 1 species
UGGGGAAUCUUGCACAAUGGGCGAAAGCCUGAUGCAGCGACGCCGCGUGGAGGACGAAGGCCUUCGGGUCGUAAACUCCUGUCUGGGGGGAUGAACACUGACAGUACCCCCGGAGGAAGCCCCGGCUAACUACGUG